UACGUAGGGUGCGAGCGUUAAUCGGAAUUACUGGGCGUAAAGUGUGCGCAGGCGGCCGCGCAAGUCGAGUGUGAAAUCCCCGGGCUCAACCUGGGAAUUGCGAUGAAGACUGCAAGGCUAGAAUCUGGCAGAGGGGGGUAGAAUUCCACGUGUAGCAGUGAAAUGCGUAGAGAUGUGGAGGAACACCGAUGGCGAAGGCAGCCCCCUGGGUCAAGAUUGACGCUCAUGCACGAAAGCGUGGGGAGCAAACAGG
rnacentral:rRNA from 1 species